rnacentral:rRNA from 1 species
CCCCUUACCGGGCCAUCCCAUGCAAACAUGGGAGGGACCUGCUAAUAUGAGUAAUAAGAGAGCCAAGCCUCUCUCCCUGCACACAUGUAAUUCGGAACGAACCCGCACCGAGCAUUAACGACCCCAAACGAAGAGGGCCCUGAACAACAACCCAAACAACCAGAAAAAAAUUCAACACAAACCGUUAACCCUACACAGGUGUGCACUUUAGGAAAGACUAAAAGAAAGAGAAGGAACUCGGCAAACAAAUAAGCCUCGCCUGUUUACCAAAAACAUCGCCUCUUGCAAAGCUAAAGAAUAAGAGGUCCCGCCUGCCCUGUGACUAUUAGUUUAACGGCCGCGGUAUUUUGACCGUGCAAAGGUAGCGCAAUCACUUGUCUUUUAAAUGAAGACCUGUAUGAAUGGCACAACGAGGGCUUAACUGUCUCCUCUUUCAAGUCAAUGAAAUUGAUCUCCCCGUGCAGAAGCGGGGAUAUAAACAUAAGACGAGAAGACCCUAUGGAGCUUUAGACACCAAAGAAGAUCCUGUCAAAUAACCCUCAAUAAGGGCCUGAACUAAUGGAAUCCUUCCCUAAUGUCUUUGGUUGGGGCGACCGCGGGGAAACAAAAAACCCCCACGUGGAAAGGGAGCACCCCUCCUACAAUUAAGAGCCGCAGCUCUAAUUAACAGAAUAUCUGACCAAUAAGAUCCGGCAAUGCCGAUCAACGGACCGAGUUACCCUAGGGAUAACAGCGCAAUCCCCUUUUAGAGCCCAUAUCGACAAGGGGGUUUACGACCUCGAUGUUGGAUCAGGACAUCCUAAUGGUGCAGCCGCUAUUAAGGGUCCGUUUGUUCAACGGUUAAAGUCCUACGUGAUCUGAGUUCAGACCGGA